AGCGAACGCUGGCGGCAGGCCUAACACAUGCAAGUCGAACGAAGUCUUCGGACUUAGUGGCGGACGGGUGAGUAACACGUGGGAACGUACCUUUUGGUUCGGAACAACUCAGGGAAACUUGAGCUAAUACCGGAUGAGCCCUUAGGGGGAAAGAUUUAUCGCCGAAAGAGCGGCCCGCGUUAGAUUAGCUAGUUGGUGAGGUAAAGGCUCACCAAGGCUACGAUCUAUAGCUGGUCUGAGAGGUUGAUCAGCCACACUGGGACUGAGACACGGCCCAGACUCCUCCGGGAGGCAGCCGUGGGGAAUCUUGCGCAAUGGGCGAAAGCCUGACGCAGCCAUGCCGCGUGAAUGAUGAAGGUCUUAGGAUUGUAAAAUUCUUUUACCAUCGACGAUAAUGACGUUACCUUGAGAAUAAGCCCCGGCUAACUUCGUGCCAGCCGCCGCGGUAAAAC
rnacentral:rRNA from 1 species